ensembl:lncRNA
UAUGUCUUUCCUGUUGAUUCAGUGUGUGUCUGUGUUCCUAAGUCUGCGUGGGUGUUUAUCGUUUAGUGUGUCUGUGUUCCUAAGUCUGCUCGAGUGUUUAUCGUUUAGUUUGUCUGUGUUCCUAAGUCUGCGUGAGUGUUUAUCGUUUAGUGUGUCUGUGUUCCUAAGUCUGCGUGGGUGUUUAUCGUUUAGUGUGUCUGUGUUCCUAAGUCUGCUCGAGUGUUUAUCGUUUAGUUUGUCUGUUGGUCGUGGGGCCGGGCUGCUGCUGAGCUCCUUUGACUGAAGCAAACGUCCUCCGAGGUAUGGCACCAUGAAACCAUGCAUGGCAGAGUCUUUGGACUCCCAUACCGAGAUGACACGUUUGUGUCGGAUCUGUUCGACUUUAAGUCGGAACAGGGCAAUAUGAUUAGAAAGGGAUUAUGACAUUGGAAACCAGUCCAGUAUUGUGAAUGACUUGAGAAGUGUUAGUGUUUGUCUCCCAGUGUUUAAAUCAGACUUUACAGGCUUUGCCUGAAGGAGGAUAUCAGGUCAAUAGACCACUUUUCCCGUUGUGCAAUUUCAAUUUUCUAUAGAAUGAAAAUCUGAGCUGGAAUAUCUAAUUCCAUGUUUAUUAGUUGGCAAAUGAAAACAGAGCAUAUUUAUAUUUUUUGUGUGGAAUACAGUUGGUUAGCUUUAAUCUUUAACCUUUCGCUUGGGUGAGGGACUACAGCUGAAGAAGUUGCAUUAGUUCUGGUGGCUUUUCAGCAACGUGCAUGCGCGCACACAGACACACACACACAUAGACACACACACACACACAUGCGUGAACGUCUUAACGUUCAUUUUGCUACUUCUGUGGCGGGAUAAGAGCCGGACGCGUACAGCGGGGGCGUACACACACACACACACACACACACACACCUCAGGCUUUCUGCUGGAAUCCCACACUUCCUCAUUGGCUGUGUGUGCACACGUGACCUUCACCUGACAACCAAUGGGUGGCUUUGACUCAACCCAUGCACUCUUGUUCACCUGAUUUUAUUGGUUGUGUUGACAUGGCCACAAAGUGAGAGAUUUACUUCCUUGUACCAUGUGAUUUGGUUGUGCACUGGCAGAUUUCUUCUUGUUAUCUCCCCUAGCAACCAAAGGGAAGGUUUCACUUGCACGCAGGCCCUGUUUGCUUGCACUCUGCCCAUCUACUAGAGAUCUUUCGAUAUCAUUUGGUUGUGCAUGACUCAGUGCUUGACUUGACUUAUACCCACAACAGUUGAGUUUGGCCCGUGACUCUUCCUCUCACACUCAUCAGAUAUGAUUGGAUGCUUGUGUUCGGAGUCAUCCACGCAGUGGGGUGGGUUUCCCCCUAUAGUGAUCUGGUUCUGGAUCACCUCAUUGGCUCUGGGACGGACCUGAUCCUGAUCCUGUGCCUGCCCGCCCUAUCAGAUCAGGACCCGGCCCAAAGAAAUAGAACUUAGCCACUGAGCCACUGAGAUCAUCUCAUUACCAGGCCAGGAAGAAAGGUCAGUCAGGUGUCUGAGAAGUUGUUUCGCAGUUAUCCAAGUCAACCGGACAAGUUUGGACUAUGUGAGCCACCGUACCACACAGGAUCAGGUGAGAUACUAGGCAAUGAAGGAACAAACCUCUCUUGUUCUUUUCUUCCCCUAUAGGCUGUGCAAGAGCAAGACUCUGGACACACUCACAUUGCUUACAAGCUCCAGGCUCACCACACUUCUCCUUCUUCAACCAUUCAUCUCUUCCUCUUCCUCCUCUCUCCUACGCUCUCUCUCUCUCUCUCUCUCUCUCUCUCACUCACCUCAUCGUCACUCUCUUUCUUGGUUGUGCUACCCGUUUAAGUCUUCUCCAUCUAUCUCUCUCUCUCUCUUUUCUUCCCUAGUCGAGAUCUAUCCCUCUUUCCUCACCCUGCAGCUCUUCCCACUGAGCGAUUGUCUCAAAUUAUUAUUUUAAAAUAAAACUUUUUUUUUCAAUUAGAUAUGGCAUUAUAUUUCUCUGUUCUCACAUUUAUAUAUUCACUAUAUCUUUAGAUAGAAAUAUAUAUGUAUAUAUUUUGACAACAAAUAUGGUAAUAUAUUUUCUUUUCAUUUCAUUUUUCUUUCUUCGUAUUGCAGUCGCCCUGAUGUGAUUUUUGUCUUGCCAUUGAAAUCAUUUGGGAGAGUCAUAUCUACUUUGCUGGAGCUCUUUCUUCUUACGUCAUGGGGCUGGGCUUCUAGUGGGGGUGGGGGGGGGGGGGGGGGGGCAGA